rnacentral:misc_RNA from 1 species
GAUGAAGAACGUAGUGAAAUGCGAUAGUAAUGUGAAUUGCAGAAUUCAGUGAAUCAUCGAAUCUUUGAACGCAUCUUGCGCUCCUUGGUAUUCUGAGGAGCAUGCCUGUUUGAGUGUCAUUAAAUUCUCAACUACACUGACUUUGAAUUGGUGUGGCUUGGAUUUGGGGGGAAAAUUGUUGUGGGCUUUUUGUAUAGUCUGCUCCCCUGAAAUUGAUUAGCGGUACCUUUGUGGAACUGUCUACAGGUGUGAUAAUUAUCUACAUCUUAGACAUCUGCUGGAAUGCUGCUUUCUAAACCUUACUUGUAUUGACAAUCUUGACCUCAAAUCAGGUAGGACUACCCGCUGAACUUAAGCAUAUCAAUAAGCGGAGGA